GACGAACGCUGGCGGCGUGCUUAACACAUGCAGGUCGAACGAAGAGCGAUGGAAGCUUGCUUCUAUCAAUCUUAGUGGCGAACGGGUGAGUAACGCGUAAUCAACCUGCCCUUCAGAGGGGGACAACAGUUGGAAACGACUGCUAAUACCGCAUACGAUCUAACCUUGGCAUCGAGGAUGGAUGAAAGGUGGCCUCUAUUUAUAAGCUAUCACUGAAGGAGGGGAUUGCGUCUGAUUAGCUAGUUGGAGGGGUAACGGCCCACCAAGGCGAUGAUCAGUAGCCGGUCUGAGAGGAUGAACGGCCACAUUGGGACUGAGACACGGCCCAGACUCCUACGGGAGGCAGCAGUGGGGAAUCUUCCGCAAUGGACGAAAGUCUGACGGAGCAACGCCGCGUGAGUGAUGACGGCCUUCGGGUUGUAAAGCUCUGUUAAUCGGGACGAAAGGCUUUCUUGCGAAUAGUGAGAAGGAUUGACGGUACCGGAAUAGAAAGCCACGGCUAA
rnacentral:rRNA from 1 species